AAAGGUGAAAUAAGGCACACAUCCACCGUUUUUCCAAAGUAAGAAGGGGAAGUUGGCACCACAAAGUUGUAGAAGACAAAAUUUAAAAUAUUGUAUCUUUGAACAGAAUGUGAAAUUCACUCAGUGGCUGACAGCCUGCAUGCCCAUUGCUGAAUCACAAGCAAGAAAACACGAUGAUGCAGUGCCAUCAGGAAGGGAAGCAAAAGUCUGGGAUUCACUUCAGAUGGUGAUCGUGCCAGCAGUCCUGCAUCUGGGACCUAGUGAAGAUAUAUAUCUGCUGAGUUAUGCAGCUUUGUAAACUGGCUGGAUUAACCUCUGUGAUAGUCAAGGUUAUUUCAUCGUCCAGAAACAUAAGCAGCAGCUUCUGUGUAUUAAGGGACUGAAGCAGUAAAUUUUACAGCACAAUUCAUCAAUGGCGUCAGCCAGAUUUAAGAGAGAGAGAGCAUGUUUUUGCAAAGCUGCAGAGAUUGCUGUAACUGAGGUCAACAGCAAACUCCUAGUGCUUUUAAAAAUUGAUUUCACUGAAAUCUUACUCCAUUUUCCUAGUAAUAAAGGCCUCCAAGGAUUUAAACUGCUGUAA